GGACCCGACUGCUAUCGGGGUAGGGCUAAGCCAUGGAAGUCGAACGCCCCGCCGCUGCGGGGCGUGGCGCACGGCUGAGUAACACGUGGCUAACCUACCCUCGGGAGGGGGAUAACCUCUCGGGAAACUGGGGCUAAUCCCCCAUAGGCGGGGAGGCCUGGAAAGGUUCCCCGCCAAAAGGGGGCGCAGGGGGCCAUCGCCUGCGCUCCGCCCGAGGAUGGGGCUGCGGCCUAUCAGGUAGUUGGCGGGGUAACGGCCCGCCAAGCCGAAGACGGGUAGGGGCCGUGAGAGCGGGAGCCCCCAGAUGGGCACUGAGACAAGGGCCCAGGCCCUACGGGGCGCACCAGGCGCGAAAACUCCGCAAUGCGGGAAACCGUGACGGGGCUACCCCGAGUGCCCCCCUUGUGGGGGCUUUUCCCCGCUGUAAGAAGGCGGGGGAAUAAGCGGGGGGCAAGUCUGGUGUCAGCCGCCGCGGUAAUACCAGCCCCGCGAGACCGGGGCCCCA
rnacentral:rRNA from 1 species